rnacentral:rRNA from 1 species
GAUGAACGCUGGCGGCGUGCCUAAUACAUGCAAGUCGAGCGAACGGACGAGAAGCUUGCUUCUCUGAUGUUAGCGGCGGACGGGUGAGUAACACGUGGAUAACCUACCUAUAAGACUGGGAUAACUUCGGGAAACCGUAGCUAAUACCGGAUAAUAUUUUGAACCGCAUGGUUCAAAAGUGAAAGACGGUCUUGCUGUCACUUAUAGAUGGAUCCGCGCUGCAUUAGCUAGUUGGUAAGGUAACGGCUUACCAAGGCAACGAUGCAUAGCCGACCUGAGAGGGUGAUCGGCAACACUGGAACUGAGACACGGUCCAGACUCCUACGGGAGGCAGCAGUAGGGAAUCUUCCGCAAAGGGGGAAAGCCUGACGGAGCAACGCCGCGUGAGUGAUGAAGGUCUUCGGAUCGUAAAACUCUGUUAUUAGGGAAGAACAUAUGUGUAAGUAACUGUGCACAUCUUGACGGUACCUAAUCAGAAAGCCACGGCUAACUACGUG